rnacentral:misc_RNA from 1 species
UGCGGCUGGAUCCCCUCCUUUCUAAGGAGCAUCUUGGCGCCAUCGGCGUCCAAGGCUCACUACUCGGGCGCACGUUCCGAGGUGAGUCGCUCAUGGGUGGAACAUCGACUAGUGGCACCGCGCACGACGCGCCUCAGUACCUCCCUUGUGGAGUGGAACCUGGUGGGUUGGUGGCGGUGCCGGCACGCUGUUGGGUCCUGAGGGAACGGGCGUGAGCCUGACCUCGGGCCGGCCUGGUGGCCGGUGCGUCGGACCACAUCGAUCGGAUGAACCGCCUCGUGAGGGGUAGGCGCCGUGAGGGUGUGGGACCGCCCGUAGCUUGAGAACUGCACAGUGGACGCGAGCAUCUUUGUAAGUCUUUGUGGCAAGUCUUGAAGGGCAGACGGUGGAUGCCUUGGCACUAGGAGCCGAAGAAGGACGUAGCAGCCUGCGAUAAGCCUCGGGGAGUUGGCAAGCGAACCGUGAUCCGAGGAUGUCCGAAUGGGGAAACCCGG